UGGAAGAAGCUUGUACAGUUUGGGAAGGGGUUUUUUGAGAGAAAAGAAGAAUCUACUUCAACCGAUAUGCCCUUAGGCACGGCCAUGCAUAACAUAGAAAUCACACGUGGAAGGGGUGGGCAAUUAGCUAGAGCAGCAGGUGCUGUAGCGAAACUCAUUGCAAAAGAGGGUAAAUCGGCCACUUUAAGAUUACCAUCUGGGGAGGUCCGUUUAGUAUCCCAAAACUGCUUAGCAACAGUCGGACAAGUGGGUAAUGUUGGGGUGAACCAAAAAAGUUUGGGUAGAGCCGGAUCUAAGUGUUGGCUAGGUAAACGCCCCGUAGUAAGAGGGGUAGUUAUGAACCCUGUGGACCACCCCCAUGGGGGCGGUGAAGGGAAAGCUCCCAUUGGUAGAAAAAAACCCACAACCCCUUGGGGUUAUCCUGCGCUUGGAAGAAGAACUAGGAAAAGGAAAAAAUAUAGCGAUAGUUUUAUUCUUUGUCGCCGUAAGUAA
rnacentral:rRNA from 1 species